rnacentral:rRNA from 1 species
AUUGAACGCUGGCGGCAUGCCUUACACAUGCAUGUCGAACGGCAGCACGGGCGCUUGCACCUGGUGGCGAGUGGCGAACGGGUGAGUAAUACAUCGGAACGUACCUUAUCGUGGGGGAUAACGCAGCGAAAGCUGUGCUAAUACCGCAUACGCCCUGAGGGGGAAAGCGGGGGAUCGAAAGACCUCGCGCGAUUAGAGCGGCCGAUGCCUGAUUAGCUUGUUGGUGGGGUAAAAGCCCACCAAGGCGACGAGCAGUAGCUGGUCUGAGAGGACGAUCGGCCACACGGGGACUUAGACACGGCCCAGACUCUUACGGGAGACAGCAGUGGGGAAUUUUUGACAAUGGGGGAGACCCGGAUCCAGCAAUGCCGCGUGAGUGAAGAAGGCCUUCGGGUUGUAAAGCUCUUUUGUCAGGGAAGAAACACCGGCUCUAACACAGUCCGGGAAUGACGGUACCUGAAGAAUAAGCACCGGCUAACUACGUGCCAGCCGCCGCCGUAA